AUUGAACGCCGGCGGAAGGAAGAACACAGGCAAGUCGAGCGGAUGAAGGGAGCUUGCUCCUGGAUUCAGCGGCGGACGGGUGAGUAAUGCCUAGGAAUCUGCCUGGUAGUGGGGGAUAACGUCCGGAAACGGGCGCUAAUACCGCAUACGGCCUGAGGGAGAAAGUGGGGGAUCUUCGGACCUCACGCUAUCAGAUGAGCCUAGGUCGGAUUAGCUAGUUGGUGGGGUAAAGGCCUACCAAGGCGACGAUCCGUAACUGGUCUGAGAGGAUGAUCAGUCACACUGGAACUGAGACACGGUCCAGACUCCUACGGGAGGCAGCAGUGGGGAAUAUUGGACAAUGGGCGAAAGCCUGAUCCAGCCAUGCCGCGUGUGUGAAGAAGGUCUUCGGAUUGUAAAGCACUUUAAGUUGGGAGGAAGGGCAGUAAGUUAAUACCUUGCUGUUUUGACGUUACCAACAGAAUAAGCACCGGCUGACUUCGUG
rnacentral:rRNA from 1 species